CAAAAGUGUGCCCGCAUGUGAGUGUGGCUGUUGUGGAGCGCAAGUGCAGCGGGUUUUAGCGCGCCGCGCUACAGAACUCGGAAACCACCGGGGUUCCAUUCCCCGCUCACGUCUACACCUGCACGGCCGCAGAUGCAUCGUCGUAGCGCACACGCGCGUCGUUCCUUGAAGACGACACGGCGGACCGCCGAAGAGCCGAGUCUGGGCCCGAGCAGUCCCCACCGUUAAUUCGCGCCACUUAUUCGUCGACGGCUGCUUUGUCCACAUCUGAGUGCGUGACGUCAUUUAUGGACGGCCCCUAAACAGUCAGCCGACCGGCAGGCCCGCGUGUGUUCAGGUGCACUACUCCCACCUCUUCCAAGAUAUUUGGCCAGCGUGGAAGAGUAGGCCGAAAUGAUCUGCUGCAGGGGUGCUCUCCAAAGCUCCGUCUAGUGGAGGCCUUUCCAGCAGCAGCGGCUUGAGCCAGCAAUUGCAGGGCUCCACCUUUACCUGUACUCGUCGCACUCUCAGCAAUUACACGCGAGCGCGUUUUGCACGCGCAGUCGUAAUUGCCUCCUCUCGCGAAAGGAAAUCGUUUUUAGAUGAUCGUGUAAGUAUAGUUUCCAAAUCUUAGUGGUUUUCAAUUGAGUUCGUUAUUUCUUUUCAUUUCAUUUUCCCGCGGAAUUCAUCACUUCUCUUCCACAUUACGCGGUCUAAUGACGUGGGUGCGAUAAAUUAUUCAGCUCUCCUCCAAGCCGCGGAAACACAGACGAUCUCAGCGAACCCAAUAGAAGAAACCCGCUCCAGUCCUGCGUCCGUAUGGUGUUCAACACAACGAUGGUGGUGGUUGUGGUGGCGAUCAGUCCACGUGGAGAUCGACACGGAGGUCCACAACCCCCCACCCACCCAGCUGCAGCCAAUGGGACAAUGCGCUUCGUGCGCUCUGAACGGAGCAGGCAGUAAUGUGAACCGCGACGUCGAGUUUCCCCAUUUGCUGUUUAGGGUUUCCCAACAAAUCCAAAUCCUCGCCAACCUCCGCACUGCGUAUCUACACUUGCACCAGUCUC